UGAGGAAUAUUGGUCAAUGGGCGCAAGCCUGAACCAGCCAUCCCGCGUGAAGGAUGAAGGUCCUAUGGAUUGUAAACUUCUUUUAUACACCAAGAAAACUUCGGACGUGUCCGAAUCUGACGGUAGUGUAUGAAUAAGCACCGGCUAACUCCGUGCCAGCAGCCGCGGUAAUACGGAGGGUGCAAGCGUUAUCAGGAUUCAUUGGGUUUAAAGGGUGCGUAGGCGGCUUUUUAAGUCAGUGGUGAAAUCUUGCCGCUUAACUGUAAAAUUGCCAUUGAUACUGAAAAGCUUGAGUACAGUUGAGGUAGGCGGAAUGUGUAGUGUAGCGGUGAAAUGCUUAGAUAUUACACAGAACACCGAUUGCGAAGGCAGCUUACUAAACUGUUACUGACGCUGAUGCACGAAAGCGUGGGGAGCGAACA
rnacentral:rRNA from 1 species